rnacentral:rRNA from 1 species
CAGAAUGAACGUGGCGGGCGUGGAUUAGGCAUGCAAGUCGAGCGGAAAGGCCCGCAAGGGUACUCGAGCGGCGUAAGGGACAGUAAUGUAUAGGUACGUACCCUCCGGUCUGGGAUAGCUGCGGGAAACUGCAAUUAAUACCAGAUAAUGUCUCCGGACCAAAGGUGUGAUUCCACCGGGGGAGCGGCCUAUAUCCUAUUAGCUAGUUGGUGAGGUAACGGCUCACCAAGGCAAAGAUGGGUAGCAGGUGUGAGAGCACGACCUGCGUCACUGGGACUGAGAACUGCCCAGACACCUACGGGUGGCUGCAGUCGAGAAUCUUCGGCAAUGAGCGCAAGCUUGACCGAGCGACGCCGCGUGUGGGAUGAAGGCCUUCGGGUUGUAAACCACUGUCGAGGGGGACGAAAUUCUAUGGGGUACUCUUCAUAGAUUGACAGAUCCCUGGAGGAAGGGUGGGCUAAGUUCGUGCCAGCAGCCGCGGUAAGACGUACCACCCAAACGUUAUUCGGAUUCACUGGGCUUACAGAGUCCGUAGGCGGUGGAGAAAGUUAGGCGUGAAGUCCCUCAGCUCAACUGAGGAAUAGCGCUUAAAACUACUUCGCUAGAGAGAGUCAGAGGUGAGCGGAACUGAUGGUGGAGCGGUGAAAUGCGUUGAUAUCAUCAGGAACACCGGUGGCGAAAGCGGCUCACUGGGGCUUUUCUGACGCUGAGGGACGAAAGCUAGGGGAGCGAACGGGAUUAGAUACCCCGGUAGUCCUAGCCUUAAACGAUGAGCACUAGAUCGAGGGGACCCUCACAUCUCCUUGGUCGUAGGGAAACUGUUAAGUGCUCCGCCUGGGGAGUAUGGGUCGCAGGCUGA